rnacentral:lncRNA from 1 species
UGUAGUAGUACUACUAGACCUAGUUGAUGUUCUUUCUUUUUUAACAUGAUGCAAACUACAAGACAAAGAAAGUACCGAGCUAGAUGACUCAUAAUUCAUGAUCAAUGAAGACCGUUCACUAAAUCGAAAACCUUUUGAGACAUAGAAGCAUCACCGACAAAAAUACCAUGUCUACCACCACUAUAAAACUGUCCAACCACAUUGACACUUUUACCCUCAAGCAACUUCACCAAUUCCCUCUGACGAUCCACAAGUUGAUCCCCAUCACAACCAAAAACCGCUACUCUCCAACCAAACAACCUUAUCUUCUCCAAAACCUUAUCUCCACCAUUCACCGUUGGAUUACAAUACUCAUAAUCACGAUCAACUCCUAAAGGUAAAGACAAAUUCCACAUUGAAUCAGUAACUAUCAACGGUAAAUUCAAAUCCUUCUCAAGUCUUAUCUCAGACGCUGUCCUCUUGUUCCCACCAAAAAACGGUUGAAUUAAUAUCAAACCUUUGAUAUUAACCGGUUUAAUCUCAUCAACUAUUGCAGCUGCACGUAGACCUGCGGUGUAUGCAAUGUUACCUCCAGCACUCUCUCCCAUGAGAUAAACACGUGAGUAAUCAGCAUGAUGUGUUAGCCAUGGAUCUUUUGAGGUUUUGAUCCAGUGAAGAAUCUCCACGGAGUCUUCAUAGGCUGCCGGAAGACGGUGUUCCGGUGCAAGACGAUAUUCGAGUGAAACAACGACGGAGUGAGUUUGAUUAGCGAGGUUGGAGCAGAAGUUGUGGAAGUAAGUUGAAGCGGCGCUGUAAAAGAUGAAGCCACCGCCAUGGUAGAAAACGAUGAGUGGUAGUUUCUUGGAGGUUGGUUUGUGGGGUAAGUAGAUUCUAGCCCAAGUGUGUUUUGAUGGGUUUAGGGUCAGGUCUUUGGAGAGGGAGGGUGUAGGAAGAUUGGGAUCUUGUGAAGGUGGGGAUUGUGGGUAUUUGUCUAAGCGUGUGAUGGUGCCGUUUGGGUUGUGGAUUAGGUUGAGUACUUUGUAUGGAUCCAUGGAGGAUGAUGAGUUUACAUUCGCAAGUAAGAGGAGGAGAUGCAAGGAAAGAAUAGCAAUAGCAGUAAUGUGUAGUGACAUAGACAUGGCUAGUACUGAUUAGUAGUUAAUGGAGAAUUAAUAGAUCUGUUGUGAUUUGGAAACCACAUGUGCAAAGAUACGUGAAUGUGAAGCUCUAGAUCUUCAAUGAUCAUGUGAUAGAUCGAAUCGAAGUCAAAGUGAAACUACUACUUGAAUGUGUGACAUAAAACAACAUCACGAUAGUCUUCGAAUUUUUCUAAAUUGGAAAAAUAAAUUUUAGUGUUUUUUUUUUUUAGUUUAUAGUGCAUAAUAUAUGUCAGGAUUCAAACUCCGACCAUCA